rnacentral:rRNA from 1 species
GACGAACGCUGGCGGCGUGCUUAACACAUGCAAGUCGAACGGAAAGGCCCUGCUUUUGUGGGGUGCUCGAGUGGCGAACGGGUGAGUAACACGUGAGUAACCUGCCCUUGACUUUGGGAUAACUUCAGGAAACUGGGGCUACUACCGGAUAGCAGCUCCUGCUGCCUGGUGGGGGUUGGAAAUUUUCGGCGGUUGGGGAUGGACUCGCGGCUUAUCAGCUUGUUGGUGGGGUAGUGGCUUACCAAGGCUUUGACGGGUAGCCGGCCUGAGAGGGUGACCGGCCACAUUGGGACUGAGAUACGGCCCAGACUCCUACGGGAGGCAGCAGUGGGGAAUAUUGCACAAUGGGCGGAAGCCUGAUGCAGCAACGCCGCGUGCGGGAUGACGGCCUUCGGGUUGUAAACCGCUUUCGCCUGUGACGAAGCGUGAGUGACGGUAAUGGGUAAAGAAGCACCGGCUAACUACGUG